rnacentral:rRNA from 1 species
AGCAGUCGCCGCGGGAAUACGGAGGGUGCGAGCGUUAAUCGGAAUUACUGGGCGUAAAGCGUACGCAGGCGGUUUGUUAAGUCAGAUGUGAAAUCCCCGAGCUUAACUCGGGAACUGCAUUUGAAACUGGCAGGCUAGAGUCUCGUAGAGGGGGGUAGAAUUCCAGGUGUAGCGGUGAAAUGCGUAGAGAUCUGGAGGAAUACCGGUGGCGAAGGCGGCCCCCUGGACGAAGACUGACGCUCAGGUACGAGAGCGUGGGGAGCAAACAGGAUUAGAGACCCCAGUAGUCCCUGUCUCUUAUAC